UAAAGGAUUGUAACUGUCAGGAGUGCACUUCUCUUGGUCUGUAGUAAAAACCAGCAUGAAACAGCUGUUUCAAAUGUGUCAGUCAGUGAGUCACUCUCUGAUAAUAUGAUAUUGGCUCUGCAGCAAAUCUGUGGUUUUCAGAUUAUUUAAUGAAGAUAUUAAAUAGAGCUGGUCAGAAAAAAAGGCCCCAAAGUGUAAAUUGUUUCCUGCCAGCCUACAAGAUUUCUCUUCCUUAAUGAUAUGGAGGAAGAUGAACUAUUCGUAGUGCUGACAGAGAUAAUUUGCACACAGAAAGAGGGGCUAAAUGAGAUACUCCCCACGCUGAAGAACAUAUGGUCCCAGUAGACAAGACAGACACAGGGUGAAGGAAACAUUAUUAUCCCAAAUUUGCAGCUCCAUGGAUGUUUCCCACUGGUCAGGAUAAAGGCAAACAAAUAGGGAAGAAGACUGCACUGUUCUGUGGAUAAAGAAAUCUUCAACCCCCAGGGCUGUCAAUCCAGCAUAAUUUCCCUGACAUAAGCAAAAGGAAAAAAGGAGAUCCAGAUAGAUGAAAGAGCAGAGAGGGUGUAUCAGACCUAAGCACAAAUGCUGCUGAUAAAAGUGCAUCCGUUUUCAAAAGCUGAAUCUGAGAAACUGAAAGAGGACCCAGAAUGGAUGGCGCAUCUGCUCAACUUGCUAUGAUAUUUUCUUCCCUAGAAAUAAGCCAAAACAUGAAGCUUUUGCUCAAUCCCCAAAUCUUUAGUGGGUCACGUAAAAUGAAACCUGCUUUUAGUCUUGGGUUUGAGCAGGGCUGGCUCCAGCUUUUUUGCUGUCCCAAGCGGUGGAAAAAAAAGAGAGAAAAGAAAAACCAGAUUGAACUGCUGCCGAAGUGCCACCGAAGAGGAAGAGAGGGACUGAAGGACCCACCGCCGAAUUGCUGCCGCAGACCCGGAUGUGCUGCCCCAAUAACGGGCAGAGUUCUGCCUCUUUCUAUUGGCCGCCCCACGCACCUUCUUCUUUCGCUGGUGCCUGGAGCUGACCCUGGGUUUAAGAAUCCAGAACCUGAUGCAUGAGGUUCUGAAAAAAAAAAUAUCCAACAAUCACAAUUUUUUUUCAAACCAAAACCUGGCCCCAUCCAUCAAUCUCCACUUGUCCCAGAACCACAAAAAAAAAAGUAAAUAACAAGCUGAAUGCAUGUUUUGACUAUACUUAAUUUAAAUUGGUAUAGGCCUACACUAAACUUGAUUUGUAUACAAGAAUCAAUUCGAGCUUCACUUGUGAGACAUUUGCAUGUUUGGACCCUUGGCAAUGAUAGAAUUGUCAUACUGGUGGUGAUGUUGGAAAUGCAAGUUCUGUUUGAAGCAGUCUGUUCCAGUAGUAGUCCAAGAUUGUUCAUAUAUCCUAUAUCUACACUCCUGUCAUGGAAGGAUCACAUGUCAUGGUGAGCGGCUAAAUUGGUCUCCUUAUUCAUUCAGUCCUUGUCCUAUAUGCUGAAAUUGCCAACCCAGGUUCCUGAUUCAACAAACUAUCCUUGUUCAUCUAAGCACUUAAUUUUAAGCACAUACUUAAAUCCCAUUGACUUUAAAUACAUGCUUAUAUGCCUUGCUAAAUAAAGGCCUUAGUCAAAAC